rnacentral:rRNA from 1 species
GGAAUAUUGGACAAUGGGCGCAAGCCUGAUCCAGCCAUGCCGCGUGAGUGAUGAAGGCCUUAGGGUUGUAAAGCUCUUUCAGCGGGGAAGAUAAUGACGGUACCCGCAGAAGAAGCCCCGGCUAACUUCGUGCCAGCAGCCGCGGUAAUACGAAGGGGGCUAGCGUUGUUCGGAAUUACUGGGCGUAAAGCGCGCGUAGGCGGAUUGUUAAGUCAGGGGUGAAAUCCCGAGGCUCAACCUCGGAACUGCCCUUGAUACUGGCAAUCUUGAGUUCGAGAGAGGUAAGUGGAAUUCCGAGUGUAGAGGUGAAAUUCGUAGAUAUUCGGAGGAACACCAGAGACGAAGGCGGCUUACUGGCUCGAUACUGACGCUGAGGCGCGAAAGCGUGGGGAGCAAAC